rnacentral:rRNA from 1 species
UGGGUAACCUGCCCAAGAGAUCGGGAUAACACCUGGAAACAGAUGCUAAUACCGGAUAACAACAGAUGAUGCCUAUCAACUGUUUAAAAGAUGGUUCUGCUAUCACUCUUGGAUGGACCUGCGGUGCAUUAGCUAGUUGGUAGGGUAACGGCCUACCAAGGCGAUGAUGCAUAGCCGAGUUUAGAGACUGAUCGGCCACAUUGGGACUGAGACACGGCCCAAACUCCUACGGGAGGCAGCAGUC